rnacentral:rRNA from 1 species
AUUAAUUAGGGGAGGAAAAGAAACUAACAAGGAUUUUCUUAGUAGCGGCGAGCGAAAAGAAAUCAGUUCAGCACUAAGUCACUUUGUCUUUAUGGCAAAUGUGAGAUGCAGUGUAUGGUACGUCUAUAAUCUAGUAUGAGAAAUUAACGAUUUAAGUCCUUCUUAAAUGAGGCCACUUACCCAUAGAGGGUGCCAGGCCCGUAUAACGUUAAUGAUUACUAGAGGGCGAUUCCAAAGAGUCGUGUUGCUUGAUAGUGCAGCACUAAGUGGGUGGUAAACUCCAUCUAAAACUAAAUAUAACCAUGAGACCGAUAGUAAACAAGUACCGUGAGGGAAAGUUGAAAAGAACUCUGAAUAGAGAGUUAAAUAGUACGUGAAACUGCUUAGAGGUUAAGCCCGAUGAACCUGAAUAUCCGUUAUGGAAAAUUCAUCAUUAAAAUUAUGAUAUGAUCUUAUGAUAUAUUGUAAUGAUAGUGUGCAUUUUUUCCAUAUGAGGACAUUGUAAUCUAUUAACAUAUAAAUGAAAUAUUUAUCAAAAAAUCAUGAGCUUAAGUUUAUUUAAAUUAUUUUGCUUGCAUUAUAACAUAAAAUAAAUGCUUGUUGAUUUGAUAAAGUGUUGAUAGAUUUAACAUAUAUGCAGUGCGUUAAUUUUUCGGAAUUAUAUAAUAGCAUAUUAAUCGAUGAUUUUUAUGUUCAUUAUAAGCACUUGCAUGAUUUACAAUGCGAAAGAUUCAGGAUACCUUCGGGACCCGUCUUGAAACACGGACCAAGGAGUCUAACAUAUUUGCAAGUCAUUGGGACUUUAUAAACCUAAUGGCAUAAUUAACUUGACUGAGUUAAUCUAACAAUGGGAUUAGUUUUUAAAUUUUAAUCAAUUUAUUAACACAAUCCCGGGGCGUUCUAUAUAGUUAUGUAUAAUAAUAUUUUAUAUUGUUUAUGCCUCUAA